UACGUAGGGGGCAAGCGUUGUCCGGAUUUAUUGGGCGUAAAGAGCUCGUAGGCGGUCUGUCGCGUCGGCUGUGAAAACUCGGGGCUCAACCCCGGGCCUGCAGUCGAUACGGGCAGACUAGAGUGCGGUAGGGGAGACUGGAAUUCCUGGUGUAGCGGUGAAAUGCGCAGAUAUCAGGAGGAACACCGGUGGCGAAGGCGGGGUCUCUGGGCCGUAACUGACGCUGAGGAGCGAAAGCGUGGGGAGCGAACAGG
rnacentral:rRNA from 1 species